CAUGCAAGUCGAACGAGAAUCUGCUGAAGGAGGAUUCGUCCAACGGAUGUAGAGGAAAGUGGCGGACGGGUGAGUAACGCGUGAGGAACCUGCCUUGAAGAGGGGGACAACAGUUGGAAACGACUGCUAAUACCGCAUGAAGCAUAGGGGUCGCAUGAUCCUUAUGCCAAAGAUUUAUCGCUUCAAGAUGGCCUCGCGUCUGAUUAGCUGGUUGGCGGGGUAACGGCCCACCAAGGCGACGAUCAGUAGCCGGACUGAGAGGUUGAACGGCCACAUUGGGACUGAGAUACGGCCCAGACUCCUACGGGAGGCAGCAGUGGGGAAUAUUGGGCAAUGGGCGCAAGCCUGACCCAGCAACGCCGCGUGAAGGAAGAAGGCUUUCGGGUUGUAAACUUCUUUUAAGAGGGAAGAGCAGAAGACGGUACCUCUAGAAUAAGCCACGGCUAACUACGUGCCAGCAGCCGCGGUAAUACGUAGGUGGCAAGCGUUGUCCGGAUUUACUGGGUGUAAAGGGCGUGCAGCCGGGUCUGCAAGUCAGAUGUGAAAUCCAUGGGCUCAACCCAUGAACUGCAUUUGAAACUGUAGAUCUUGAGUGUCGGAGGGGCAAUCGGAAUUCCUAGUGUAGCGGUGAAAUGCGUAGAUAUUAGGAGGAACACCAGUGGCGAAGGCGGAUUGCUGGACGAUAACUGACGGUGAGGCGCGAAAGUGUGGGGAGCAAACAGGAUUAGAUACCCUGGUAGUCCACACUGUAAACGAUGAAUACUAGGUGUGCGGGGACUGACCCCCUGCGUGCCGCAGUAAACACAAUAAGUAUUCCACCUGGGGAGUACGAUCGCAAGGUUGAAGCUCAAAGGAAUUGACGGGGGCCCGCACAAGCGGUGGAUUAUGUGGUUUAAUUCGA
rnacentral:rRNA from 1 species